AUUGAACGCUGGCGGCAUGCCUAACACAUGCAAGUCGAACGGUAACGACGGGAGCUUGCUCCCGGGCGACGAGUGGCGGACGGGUGAGUAAUACUUAGGAAUCUGCCCAUUAGUGGGGGACAACUAGAAGAAAUUCUAGCUAAUACCGCAUACGCCCUACGGGGGAAAGCGGGGGAUCUUCGGACCUCGCGCUAAUGGAUGAGCCUAAGUCGGAUUAGUUUGUUGGUGAGGUAAUGGCUCACCAAGGCGACGAUCCGUAGCUGGUCUGAGAGGACGAUCAGCCACACUGGGACUGAGACACGGCCCAGACUCCUACGGGAGGCAGCAGUGGGGAAUAUUGGACAAUGGGCGCAAGCCUGAUCCAGCAAUGCCGCGUGUGUGAAGAAGGCCUGCGGGUUGUAAAGCACUUUCAGUAGAGAAGAAAAGCCUAGGGUUAAUAACCCUGAGUCUUGACGUAACCUACAGAAGAAGCACCGGCUAACUCCGUG
rnacentral:rRNA from 1 species